GACAGAGGUGCCAAGCGUUAGGCGGAAUCACUGGGCUUAAAGCGUGUGUAGGCGGACCCGUCAGUACCUUGUGAAAUCCCACGGCUCAACCGUGGAACUGCUCGGUAUACUGCGGGUCUUGAGCCACUUAGGGGCUGUCGGAACAAACGGUGGAGCGGUGAAAUGCGUAGAGACCGGGAAGAACACCAGUGGCGAAGGCGGCUACCUGGACAGGUACUGACGCUGAAGCGCGAAAGCUAGGGGAGCAAACAGG
rnacentral:rRNA from 1 species